ACACUCCUGCGGGAGGCAGCAGUGGGGAAUUUUGGACAAUGGGGGCAACCCUGAUCCAGCAAUGCCGCGUGAGUGAAGAAGGCCUUCGGGUUGUAAAGCUCUUUUGUCAGGGAAGAAACGGUGGUGGCGAAUAACUACUACUAAUGACGGUACCUGAAGAAUAAGCACCGGCUAACUACGUGCCAGCAGCCGCGGUAAUACGUAGGGUGCAAGCGUUAAGCGGAAUUACUGGGCGUAAAGCGUGCGCAGGCGGUUGUGUAAGUCAGAUGUGAAAUCCCCGGGCUCAACCUGGGAAUUGCAUUUGAGACUGCACGGCUAGAGUGUGUCAGAGGGGGGUAGAAUUCCACGUGUAGCAGUGAAAUGCGUAGAUAUGUGGAGGAAUACCGAUGGCGAAGGCAGCCCCCUGGGAUAACACUGACGCUCAUGCACGAAAGCGUGGGGAGCAAACAGGAUUAGAUACCCCUGUAGUCCCAUGAU
rnacentral:rRNA from 1 species